rnacentral:lncRNA from 1 species
CAGUAUUAUUCUCUACGUAAAUUCCUCUUUUCUCUGAAAAUUUCAGACUUGAGAAAAUCUCAGAAAAUUUCAAAAAAACCUCUCAUCUUUAAUAAGCUAGAAAUGAUUUGAAGUAGGGUUAUUUGUUCGAAUUUCUAUUUUUCAAGUGGCUAGUUUUUGUUUUUGAAACUUUAGGGAUCACUUCGUUGCUGGUUUAUUUUUGAGUUUCGCCGUUGCUUUUUUUGGGGGUUUCUUCAAUCAGCG